GUUUGUACAACCCCAACCUUCCGGGGGUUUCCACUAAAGCUGCUUUGUCCCUCCUGAGGUCUAAGCAGAAAGUGAGCAAAGAGACAUACACCAUGGCCACAGCUCCGCAUCCUGAGGCAGGAAGGCUUGUGCCAUCCAGCUCCCGCAAGCCCCGCAUGACAGAGGUUCACCUCCCUUCGCUGGUUUCCCCGGAAGGCCAGAAAGAGCUAGCUAGAGUGGAGGAGGAAGAAGAGAGGAGAGGGGAGCCGGAGGAGGAUGCUCCUGCCUCCCAGAGAGGGGAGCCGGCGAGGAUCAAAAUCUUCGAAGGAGGGGAAUCUGACUAAGCACAUGAAGUCGAAGGCCCACAGCAAAAAGUGCCAAGAGACAGGGGUGCUGGAGGAGCUGGAAGCCGAAGAAGGAACCAGUGACGACCUGUUCCAGGACUCGGAAGGACGAGAGGGCUCAGAGGCUGUGGAGGAGCACCAGUUUUCGGACCUGGAGGACUCAGACUCAGACUCAGACCUGGACGAAGAUGAGGAUGAGGAUGAGGAGGAGAGCCAGGAUGAGCUGUCCAGACCAUCCUCAGAGGCGCCCCCGCCUGGCCCACCACAUGCACUGCGGGCAGACUCCUCACCCAUCCUGGGCCCUCAGCCCCCAGAUGCCCCCGCCUCUGGCACCGAGGCUACACGAGGCAGCUCGGUCUCGGAAGCUGAGCGCCUGACAGCCAGCAGCUGCUCCAUGUCCAGCCAGAGCAUGCCGGGCCUCCCCCGGCUGGGACCGGCCCCUCUAGGCUCUGUGGAGAAAGACACAGGCUCAGGCUUGAGCUACAAGCCUGUGUCCCCAAGAAGACCGUGGUCCCCAAGCAAAGAAGCAGGCAGCCGUCCACCACUAGCCCGCAAACACUCACUAACCAAAAACGACUCAUCUCCCCAGCGAUGCUCCCCGGCCCGAGAACCACAGGCCUCAGCCCUGAGCCCACCUGGCCUGCAUGUGGACCCAGGAAGGGGCAUGGGCCCUCUGCCUUGUGGGUCUCCAAGACUUCAGCUGUCUCCUCUCACCCUCCGCCCCCUGGGAAGAGAACUGGCCCCUCGAGCACAUGUGCUCUCCAAACUCGAGGGUACCACCGACCCAGGCCUCCCCAGAUACUCGCCCACCAGGAGAUGGUCUCCGGGUCAGGCCGAGUCACCACCACGAUCAGCGCUGCCAGGGAAGUGGGCCUUGGCUGGGCCGGGCAGCCCCUCAGCGGGGGAGCAUGGCUCAGGCUUGGGGCUGGCCCCGCGGGUUCUCUUCCCUCCCGCGCCUCUACCUCACAAGCUCCUCAGCAGAAGCCCAGAGACCUGCGCCUCCCCGUGGCAGAAGGCCGAGUCCCGAAGUCCCUCCUGCUCACCCGGCCCUGCUCAUCCUCUCUCUGCCCGACCCUUCUCCACCCUCCAUGACCUCCACGGCCACAUCGCGGCCCGGACAGAGGAGAACAUCUUCAGCCACCUGCCUCUGCACUCCCAGCACUUGACCCGCGCCCCGUGUCCCUUGAUUCCCAUCGGUGGGAUCCAGAUGGUGCAGGCCCGGCCAGGAGCCCACCCCACCCUGCUGCCAGGGCCCACCGCAGCCUGGGUCAGUGGCUUCUCCGGGGGUGGCAGUGACCUGACAGGGGCCCGGGAGGCCCAGGAGCGAGGCCACUGGAGUCCCACUGAGAGCUCGUCAGCCUCCGUGUCCCCUGUGGCUAAGGUCUCCAAAUUCACACUCUCCUCAGAGCUGGAGGGCAGGGACUACCCCAAGGAGAGGGAGAGGACCGGCGGAGGCCCGGGCAGGCCUCCUGACUGGACACCCCAUGGGACCGGGGCACCUGCAGAGCCCACACCCACGCACAGCCCCUGCACCCCGCCCGACACCUUGCCCCGGCCGCUCCAGGGACGCCGGGCAGCGCAGUCCUGGAGCCCCCACUUGGAGUCCCCGCGUGCACCGGCCAACCCCGAGGCUUCUGCCACCCCGCCACUGGACCGCAGCAGCUCCGUGGGCUGCCUGGCAGAGGCCUCUGCCCGCUUCCCAGCCCGGAGGAGGAACCUCUCUGGGGAACCCAGGACCAGGCAGGACUCCCCCAAGCUUUCAGGAAGUGGGGAGCCCAGGGCACCUCCACAUCAGCCUGAGGACAGGGGCCCCCCCACCGCUUAGCCUCUCUCCAACCGCUUCAGCAUCUGGCUUCCAGUGUCCACCAACAGACGUUUCCAGCCACUUUCCUCGAAUCAUCUUGCUCCCUCAGCCCCAUCUGUCCCUCCGUCCAGGAGCUCUCACGGCCCCAUCUGUUGUACCUUCCCAUGUAUGCAGUUACCUGUGCCUUUUUCUACACCUUUUGUUGCUUAAAAAGAAACAAAACAAAUCACAUACAUACAUUU
rnacentral:sRNA from 1 species